rnacentral:misc_RNA from 1 species
UUACACCAAUCAAGCAUCGCUUGGUAUUAGGCCCUCGCCCCCGCCUCGCGGGGCGUGCCUCAAACACCUCGGCGGAGCACACCGGCUUUGGGCGUAGUAGAAUUUUUCGACGCCCGUGGGACGGUGGGGGUCUUGCCGCGCAAGCAAACAAUUUUUUAAAGGUUGACCUCGGAUCAGGUAGGGAUACCCGCUGAACUUAA